rnacentral:rRNA from 1 species
UACAGAGGGUGCGAGCGUUGUCCGGAAUGACUGGGCGUAAAGGGCGCGUAGGCGGAUGGCACAGUCAGAUGUGAAAUUCCCGGGCUUAACCUGGGGGCUGCAUUUGAUACGUGUUGUCUUGAGUUCGGAAGAGGGUCGUGGAAUUCCCAGUGUAGAGGUGAAAUUCGUAGAUAUUGGGAAGAACACCGGUGGCGAAGGCGGCGACCUGGUCCGACACUGACGCUGAGGCGCGAAAGCGUGGGGAGCAAACAGG